CAGCCGCCGCGGGAAUACAGAGGAUGCAAGCGUUAUCUGGAAUUAUUGGGCGUAAAGGGCGCGUAGGCGGUUUGCCAAGUUAGAUGUGAAAUUCCCAGGCUUAACCUGGGGACUGCAUUUGAUACUGGCAGGCUUGAGUGUGGAAGAGGGUCGUGGAAUUCCCAGUGUAGAGGUGAAAUUCGUAGAUAUUGGGAAGAACACCGGUGGCGAAGGCGGCGACCUGGUCCAUAACUGACGCUGAGGCGCGAAAGCGUGGGGAGCAAACAGGAUUAGAUACCCCUGUAGUCCCUGUCUCUUAUAC
rnacentral:rRNA from 1 species